AGUGAACGCUGGCGGUAGGCUUAACACAUGCAAGUCGAACGGCAGCACAGUAAGAGCUUGCUCCUACGGGUGGCGAGUGGCGGACGGGUGAGGAAUACAUCGGAAUCUACUUUUUCGUGGGGGAUAACGCAGGGAAACUUACGCUAAUACCGCAUACGACCUACGGGUGAAAGCAGGGGAUCUUCGGACCUUGCGCGAAUGAAUGAGCCGAUGUCGGAUUGGCUAGUUGGCGGGGUAAAGGCCCACCAAGGCGACGAUCCGUAGCUGGUCUGAGAGGAUGAUCAGCCACACUGGAACUGAGACGCGGUCCAGACUCCUACGGGAGGCAGCAGUGGGGAAUAUUGGACAAUGGGCGCAAGCCUGAUCCAGCCAUACCGCGUGGGUGAAGAAGGCCUUCGGGUUGUAAAGCCCUUUUGUUGGGAAAGAAAAGCAGCAGGUUAAUACCCCGCUGUUCUGACGGUACCCAAAGAAUAAGCACCGGCUAACUUCGUG
rnacentral:rRNA from 1 species